AGUUCGAUUAUGGCUCAGAUUGAACGCUGGCGGGAUGCUUUACACAUGCAAGUCGAACGGCAGCACGGACUUCGGUCUGGUGGCGAGUGGCGAACGGGUGAGUAAUGUAUCGGAACGUGCCUAGUAGCGGGGGAUAACUACGCGAAAGGUAGCUAAUUACCGCAAAGGGCAUACGCCCUUCGGGGGAAAGCGGGGGACCUUUCGGGCCUCGCACUAUUAGAGCGGCCGAUAUCGGAUUAGCUAGUUGGUGGGGUAACGGCUCACCAAGGCGACGUCGAUCCGUAGCUGGUUUGAGAGGACGACCAGCCACACUGGGACCGAGACACGGCCCAGACUCCUACGGGAGGCAGCAGGGGGAAUUUUGGACAAUGGGGGAAACCCUGAUCCAGCCAUCCCGCGUGUGCGAUGAAGGCCUUCUGGCCAGAAACACUUUGCGAGGAAAGAAACGGCACGGGAUAAUACCCCGUGCAACUGACGGUACCUGCAGAAUAAGCACCGGCUAACUACGUGCCAGCAGCCGCGGUAAUACGUAGGGUACAAGCGUUAAUCGGAAUUACUGGGCGUAAAGCGUGCGCAGGCGGUUCGAAAGAAAGAUGUGAAAUCCCAGAGCUUAACUUUGGAACUGCAUUUUUAACUACCGAGCUAGAGUGUGUCAGAGGGAGGUGGAAUUCGCGUGUAGCAGUGAAUGCGUAGAUAUGCGGAGGAACACCGAUGGCGAAGGCAGCCUCCUGGGAUAACACUGACGCUCAUGCACGAAAGCGUGGGAGCAAACAGGAUUAGAUACCCUGGUAGUCCACGCCCUAAACGAUGUCAACUUAGCUGUUGGGGCCUUCGGCCUUGGUAGCGCAGCUAACGCGUGAAGUUGACCGCCUGGGGAGUACGGUCGCAAGAUUAAAACCUCAAAGGAAUUGACGGGGACCCGCACAAGCGGUGGAUGAUGUGGAUUAAUUCGAUGCAACGCGAAAAACCUUACCUACCCUUGACAUGUCUGGAAUCCCGAAGAGAUUUGGGAGUGCUCGGGCAAGAGAACCGAACACAGGUGCUGCAUGGCUGUUUUCGCCGCUCGUGUCGUGAGAUGUUGGGUUAAGUCCCGCAACGAGCGCAACCCUUGUCAUUAGUUGCUACGAAAGGGCACUCUAAUGAGACUGCUGCGACAAACCGGAGGAAGGUGGGGAUGACGUCAAGUCCUCAUGGCCCUUAUGGGUAGGGCUUCACACGUCAUACAAUGGUCGGGACAGAGGGUCGCCAACCCGCGAGGGGGAGCCAAUCCUGCAGAAACCCGAUCGUAGUCCGGAUCGCAGUCUGCAACUCGACUGCGUGAAGUCGGAAUCGCUAGUAAUCGCGGAUCAGCAUGUCGCGGUGAAUACGUUCCCGGGUCUUGUACACACCGCCUGUCACACCAUGGGAGUGGGUUUUACCAGAAGUAGUUAGCCUAACCGUAAGGAGGGCGAUUACCACGGUAGGAUUCAUGACUGGGGUGAAGUCGUAACAAGGUAA
rnacentral:rRNA from 1 species